AUGCCUACGGGGCGCAGCAGUCUAGAAUCCUUCACAAUUGUUUAAACCCUGAUGGUGCGACGCCGCGUGGGGGAAUGAAGGUCUUCGGAUUGUAAACCCCUGUCAUGUGGGAGCAAAUUAAAAAGAUAGUACCACAAGAGGAAGAGACGGCUAACUCUGUGCCAGCAGCCGCGGUAAUACAGAGGUCUCAAGCGUUGUUCGGAAUCACUGGGCGUAAAGCGUGCGUAGGCUGUUUCGUAGGUCGUGUGUGAAAGGCGCGGGCUCAACCCGCGGACGGC
rnacentral:rRNA from 1 species